GCCCAGAUGAGCAUCGGCGAUCCGGUGUGCGCGGUUCAAGCCCGUAGUUGAUGAGAGUCCGAGUGAUUCAAUUCCACCUUAUGAGUG